rnacentral:piRNA from 1 species
ACACAUGUAAGCAGUGGACCGAAUG